rnacentral:rRNA from 1 species
AUGGAGAAGUCCGCAAUAAUGUUCAGCCCCAACACGGAUGACGCUGGAAGGGUAGCGGUGAAGAGCACCCUAGCUAUCCAGAGUGAGAAUUGGAAUGAGAAAUACCUCGGCCUCCCAGUUCAUGUAGGGUGCUCAAGAAGGCGGGCAUUCAGUUGCAUCAAACGUAAUUUGUGUGGGAGAGUUAAUGGAUGGCAGGAGAGACUUCUAGCAAAAGAGAGCAAAGAAGUGCUUGUGAAGGGGGUGGCUCAAGCCAUACCCGCGUUCGCCAUGUCAUGCUUCGACCUCACUAAAACCUUUUGUGCAGAAUUGAAUACACUGAUGGGCAAGUUUUGGUGGAGCCAACAAGAUAAGCAAAAUCCGAUGCAU